rnacentral:rRNA from 1 species
AGCAGCCGCGGUAAUUCCAGCUCCAAUAGCGUAUAUUAAAGUUGUUGCAGUUAAAAAGCUCGUAGUUGAAUUUCGAGAUCAAUUUGUUGGUCGUGCCUCGGUACGUACUGGCAAUUUUGGUUUCUCCCUUCUGAAGAACCAUGAUGUCAUUAAUUUGGUGUCAUGGGGAAUCAGGACUGUUACUUUGAAAAAAUUAGAGUGUUUAAAGCAGGCUCGCGCUUGAGUACAUUAGCAUGGAAUAAUGAAAUAGGACGUUUGAUUCUAUUUUGUUGGUUUCUAGGAUCGACGUAAUGAUUAAUAGGGAUAGUUGGGGGCAUUAGUAUUCAAUUGUCAGAGGUGAAAUUCUUGGAUUUAUUGAAGACUAACUACUGCGAAAGCAUUUGCCAAGGAUGUUUUCAUUAAUCAAGAACGAAAGUUAGGGGAUCGAAGACGAUCAGAUACCGUCGUAGUCUUAACCAUAAACUAUGCCGACUAGGGAUCGGAUGAUGUUAAUUUUUUAAUGACUCA